CUCCGUGCCGAUUCACCCUAUGGCGAGAAUGGAGGAGGCCUCCAAGCUCUGUCCUCUCUCCAUUCCUUGACGAUCACUAAAGGAAUGCCCUAAGCUCCUCGCCUGCUAUUUGCCGUCGUCCUCUUCUUCUGGUUUCCCCUUCCCAUCCUCCCUACAAUCCCUAACGCUACAUGGCGUGGAGACACUGGCACCCCUCUCGAACCUCACCUCUCUCAUUGAACUGGAAAUACAUGAUUGCGGGGGCUCCCAAGGCGCGGGCUUGCGGCGUCUCCUCGCCCACGGCUGUCUCCGCGAGUUAUCCGUCUCCGAAACCCCCAAUUUCUUCUCCACUGAAUGCUGUUCAGACUUCAGAGGACACCCUCGAACCCUCGUCCCCUUCCUCCAAACAGCAGUCGCUGUUCACGGAUGACGUCGCAGGACUCCUUGCGGCACCCAUCUGCACGCUCCUCUCUUCCUCCCUCACCAAUUUAUACCUUGGGGAGAAUCAGAUGGAGCGCUUCACAGAGGAGAAGGACGAGGCCCUUGAGCUCCUCACCUCCCUUGAGCUCCUUCACGGAUGAUCCUUUUCCCUUUUUUCUGCAGAGGGAUCUUCUUGGAACUGUACAUUCUUAUAGGCUUAUAGGAACCUUUCUAUAUUCAAGGAAAAUUCCCUGUUAUCAGCUAUGAAUACCUCAACAUGUAUCUCCCGCCAUGUAGAUAAAACUGGUUAGUACAUUUGAACUCUACCAUGCAAUCUCGUGUGACAUUUAGCACAUCCUUCUCCUUGCUAGUUGCUACUAUUGAUAGAUAGAGACCAUUGCAGUAUCAUGCUAUGUGAUUGUAGAAGUUUUAUAGCCCCCCCCCCCCCCCCCCCCUCACUUGUGAACCUGCAGAAAUAAGCUUCAUCCUCUGGACUUUCUGUUUCAGUAUUUUCAUUCCUAAUUUACUUGUUGUGGAGAUCUAUGAAUUAAGCCAGUUUAAGAGAACACAUCUCCGCUUGUACCAUUCUUCUUCAAACACUUGCCUGUUACCUUGGGUACUCCUGCAUGAUAUAAUUUGCAUCCUCACAUUUUUUUAACUCUGAAACUACUGUAUAGUUCUGAAUUGAUACUCCCAUUUAUUUUCUUGACAUAGGAACAAUUUGACCUUCAUACAUCAUAAUUCAUAUUCUGCCUUUCAGUCAAUAUGGCUAACAUUGAAUAUCUUUAACUACUAUUUGUUCUCUAGGUAAGCUCCAUUGGGUUCUCUUGACAUAACAGAACUUUGCUUCAAUUUGACUGUACUAGUACAAAGUGAUUGCCCUUUCCACUAUCCUAUCACUGGUUGCCGUUACUUUCCUAACAUUGUCACCGUCAAGGGUCAUAAUAUUAUCUUAUUUUGACCUGUUCUGCAGUGUUCUUCAAAUUUUACAUCUUCUAGCCUCAUAUUAUUCUGGACAUACUCACGCACUGUUUUAUGUCUCCAAGUUGGAGACUCAACUGUGGUAUUCUCAACAUGUAACUUCCAUCCUGUACACAAGGUUGGCUAGUAUAUGCAAAAUCACCCAUACUUCAGUCAAUAAUUGUUUCACUGCCGUUUGAUGCUCUGGUUUUUUUAAGCAUCCUGGAAAAUUACUUUCUGCCUUUGUAAUGCCUCAAUAAAUGGUUAUUCCUUUUCAUGCACUCUGAGAAUUACUUGUUAAUUCUGAACUCUGAGAUUCUAAUUUCUGUGCGCAGCAUAUGACUAGCUUGUUGUUUGCAUAUGGUGCUUAUAUGCUACUUAGCUGCUCUUCUUAUUGUCGAUCAUGGUUCUUUGGCAGAUGUGGGAUACAUACUCUUUGGACAGGCUAGUACCUGUCAAUUUUCAUCGCUAAUUUGGUAUGUAGUGGACCUUAAGUCGGUAUGUGUUCAUUUGUAAUUGUAGCCAAUUAUAUUUUGAGUACACAGAGGCAGGAGGAGGAGGUAGCACCAAGUGUCGCAAUGAUACUAUACUGAUUUUUACAGAUAAUCUUCUGUAGAGCAGCAAUAAGUACACAGAGACAGGAGCUAGCACGACACUGAAAGAUUCUUAACUACCUUUUCCCAUCUGUGUUGAAGAAAACCCAUUUUUUUCAUAUUUGUACAGAUCUGCGCCAACAACACAAGAUGCAUAAUCAUCCAGCAUGAUAUCUGAAAGUCAUGUCAGCUAAUCAUUUGUAUGCUUCUCAAUUGCACAUCUGCUAAUAUGGGCAUUUGGCUAGUUUAUGAUCCAACUAUCAUCUCCUUCAUAGCUUCAUGCGACUGUGGAAGAUAUGUGGGCAAAAAGUUGUGGCUUGCUCAUAUCAUAUUGAAUAAGCGUUCAGAAUUUCGGCUGGAAUUCACCAGUUUUCGGCAAAUAUCGGUCCUACUGGUUGUGGCCAUUUAAUGACCUUACUGGUAUCUGGAACACUGCAUUGAAUCAGUUCUUCUUUAGACAUCUUGAAUCGAGCAAUAAACAUUCAUGUCCCCUGCACCUUGACGAUGCCAAUCUCAUCUCUUGGAAGAUUUGUGUGCAAGCAGAGCAUAUAUAAGUUGGCAAAAUGCUGUCCUUUGUUCCUGCUUCCUGCUUCCCAAUGACUUGGUUGUAUCAUUGGCAAUCAGGCCUUAGUCAUCCUAUGAUCUACCUGCUGAGCAUAAGAUGUUGUCCAUUUGCACAAGUCUCCAUCCUAAGCAACUUUGAACUGAAUGCUCCUUCAGAGUGCCCUCUUCUAGUUCAUCGGAGUGGGCACACAUGCAUCUGCUGAUUGUCACGCUUUUAGACACUCAUGACAUGGAUAUGAGCUCUGUUGGCAGUCUGGCUAUUAGGAAUUUAUGCCGAUGCUUCUCGCGAAGAUCACAAUCAUCAUCACAAGAAAUGACUUGUGCUCAUCUGAAUUGAUGCUGAACAUGUUUUCUUGCAUCUCUCUGGUUCUUCAAGGAUGCAUGGACCAAAUCAGGUUCAAGCAUAGAAAUUUCCAGAGAAAUCUGGCUCCUAUUAAGAUACUGACAGUCAAAUAGGCCAAUGCUUGGUUUAAUAGUUCUAAUGACAAAUUUAUCAAGCACAAGAAGUACUACAAAUUUUGGGGGCGAUGUUACUGAUGUGUAGAAUAGCAACACCCCAUUUGAAUGUUGAAGAGAGUAACCUUCUUUAAGUCAUUGGCGCCAUCCAUCUUUAAAUCAUCAAUCAGCCAUUUCAACGGCUCCUGGUGUUGAGCAGUUAAAGCGCAUGUAAAUUGGUAUGUCCAAUGAUCAAACUAUGGAUGAGGCAUCAAAGACGUAAAGGAGAGACGGGAUUGUGCACGCAUGUAGGAGACAUAAGAGCUCAACAAGUCAACAAUACGCUUCUGAUGUGCAAGCAAGAAGCAAGGAAACCGAUUGGGAGAGAGCGUGCCAUAGCAAAACGCAAGAAGCCGGAGGCGCAGGAUGUUGUUGGGGGUACCAUGAGGUCGCCGGGAUGAAGGUGAAGCUCAAGAAGCCCCUGCUAGUUCUCAGGAAGAAGGUGAGCGAUGGUGCUGGGGAUCAAGAGCCACCGGCAGCGGAGGUGGAGCUGGAGGUGAUUGGCAUCAUCCGGCACAAAUCCUCUUCAAGGACCGGCCCAAAGCUCUGAAUGUGCGAUUGGUCUAGUAAAGAUUGCUUCUCCCGUGAAAAUCGAUCACGUGUUCUGUGUGGUUGAUUGAUGCCUUGUAUGGACUUCCAUCGCCAUACAGUUUAAGGAUACACGCUUGUGCUCUAUGUUGCUUUCUUGGUGGUUAAGAGUCUGUAAUUGUGAUUCCAUUCAAAUUCAGACCGUAUAUACAUGGCAAGCACUGCACACCCCAGCUGCUUCCUGACACUGACAAGGUAAAAUGGCAUCAUAUUUCAAGACUC